rnacentral:rRNA from 1 species
CCUACGGGAGGCAGCAGUGAGGAAUAUUGGUCAAUGGACGAGAGUCUGAACCAGCCAAGUAGCGUGAAGGAUGACUGCCCUAUGGGUUGUAAACUUCUUUUAUAUGGGAAUAAAACGUUCCACGUGUGGGAUUUUGUAUGUACCAUAUGAAUAAGGAUCGGCUAACUCCGUGCCAGCAGCCGCGGUAAUACGGAGGAUACUAGCGUUAUCCGGAUUUAUUGGGGUUAAAGGGAGCGUAGGUGGAUUGUUAAGUCAGUUGUGAAAGUUUGCGGCUCAACCGUAAAAUUGCAGUUGAAACUGGCAGUCUUGAGUACAGUAGAGGUGGGCGGAAUUCGUGGUGUAGCGGUGAAAUGCUUAGAUAUCACGAAGAACUCCGAUUGCGAAGGCAGUUCACUGGACUGCAACUGACACUGAGGCUCGAAAGUGUGGGUAUCAAACAGGAUUAGAUACCCCGGUAGUC